rnacentral:rRNA from 1 species
GAUGAACGCUGGCGGCGUGCUUAACACAUGCAAGUCGAACGAUGAAGCCCAGCUUGCUGGGUGGAUUAGUGGCGAACGGGUGAGUAACACGUGAGUAACCUGCCCUUAACUCUGGGAUAAGCCUGGGAAACUGGGUCUAAUACCGGAGAGGAGCGUCCACCGCAUGGUGGGUGUGGGAGAGAUUUAUCGGUUUUGGAUGGACUCGCGGCCUAUCAGCUUGUUGGUGAGGUAAUGGCUCACCAAGGCGACGACGGGUAGCCGGCCUGAGAGGGUGACCGGCCACACUGGGACUGAGACACGGCCCAGACUCCUACGGGAGGCAGCAGUGGGGAAUAUUGCACAAUGGGCGCAAGCCUGAUGCAGCGACGCCGCGUGAGGGAUGACGGCCUUCGGGUUGUAAACCUCUUUCAGUAGGGAAGAAGCGAAAGUGACGGUACCUGCAGAAGAAGCACCGGCUAACUACGUG